rnacentral:rRNA from 1 species
GGGGGGGGGGGGGGGGAAACAGGCAGGUCGAGCGGUAACAGAGAGUAGCUUGCUAGUGCGGUGACGAGCGGCGGAGGGGUGAGUAGGGCGUGGGAACGUGCCGUGAGGUGGGGGACAACAGGUGGAAACGAGUGCUAAUAGCGCAUAGUGUCUAGGGACCAAGGGGGGCUUCGGCUCUCGCCUUUAGAUUGGCCCAAGUGGGAUUAGCUAGUUGGUGAGGUAAUGGCUCACCAGGGCGACGAUCCCUAGCUGGUUUGAGAGGAUGAUCACCCACACUGGGACUGAUACACGGCCCAGACUCCUACGGGAGGCAGCAGUGGGGAAUAUUGCACAAUGGGCGCAAGCCUGAUGCACCCAUGCCGCGUGUGUGAAGAAGGCCUUCGGGUUGUAAAGCACUUUCAGUCAAGAGGAAAGGUUAGUAGUUAAUACCUGCUAUCUGUGACGUUACUGACAGAAAAAGCACCGGCUAACUCCGUGCCAGCACCCGCGAUAAUACAGAGGGUGCGAGCGUUAAUCAGAAUUACUGCGCGUAAAGCGUACGCACGCGGUUUGUUAAGCGAUAUGUGAAACCCCCGGUCUCAACCUGAGAACUGCAUUUCAAACUGGCAAACUAGAGUGUGAUAGAGGGUGAUAAAAUUUCAUGUGUAGCGGUGAAAUGCAUAGAGAUCUGAAAGAAUACCGAUGGCGAAGGCAGCCACCUGUGUCAACACUCACGCUCAUGUACGAAAGCGUGGGGAGCAGACAAUAUUAGAUACCCUGAUAGUCCACGCCAUAAACUAUGUCUACUAAAAUCUCGGAAGCUCGGUUCUGUUUUUCAACCUAACACAUUAAGUACACCCCCUGGAGAAUACAACCGCAAUCUAAGGCUCGGAUGGGUUGACGCGCCCCGCACAAACAGUGGAGCGUGUGGUUAAUUCCAUCCACCCGAAAAACAUACCUCGCUUCACAUAAAAGAGGUAGCAGAGAUGUGUUGUGCCGUCGGAACUCAGAGACGAGG